GCCGCGUUGGCGUAGUGGUAGCGCGUCUCACUUGUAUCAAGUCGUGCAAUGAGAAGGUCAUUCGUUCAAUCCGGGUACGUGGCA